GCGAGGGUGGUGAAAUUGGUAGACACGCUAGACUUAGGAUCUAGUGCCUGACGGCAUGGGGGUUCGAUUCCCCCCUCUCGCACCA
rnacentral:tRNA from 2 species